rnacentral:rRNA from 1 species
GAUGAACGCUGGCGGCGUGCCUAAUACAUGCAAGUCGAGCGAACAGACGCUGAGCUUGCUCCUCUCACGUUAGCCGCGCACGUGUGUGUAACACGUGGAUAACCCACCUAUAAGACUGGGAUAACUUCGGGAAACCGGCGCUAAUACCGUAUAAUAUAUUGAACCGUAUUGUUCAAUAGUGAAAGACGGUUUUGCUGUCACUAAUCGCUGGAUCUGCGCUGCAUUAGAUAGUUGUUAAGGUAACGGCUUACCAAGGCAAGGAUGCGUAGACGACGUGAGAGGGUGAUAGGCCACACUGGAACGGAGACACGGUCAAGAGGACUAAGAGAGGCAGCAGUAGGGAAUCUUACGCAGUGGGCGAAAGCAUGGCGGAGCAACGCGACGUGAGUGAUGAAAAUGUUCGGAGCGUAAAAAUCUGUUAUGAGGGAAAAACAGAUGUGUAAGUAAAUAUGCACGGAGUGACGGUACCUAAUCAGAAAGCCACGGCUAACUACGUG